GGGCAUAUGGUCUAGUGGUAUGAUUUCUGUUUUGCAAAGCCUCAGUGGCUCCUGCAAAUACAGACGGUCCCGCGUUCGAUCCGCGGUAUGUCCA
rnacentral:tRNA from 1 species